GAUUUCUGGUUUGAUACAUUUAGCCGGCCACGGUUUCGUGUGUUAGCGCUAGAUGUUCUGGCCAUCCUUCCAAUCGCUAUUCACCUUUCUUCAUUGAUUGGUGAGUGGUAUUGGAUCUUUUACUUUGAAAAAAUUAGAGUGUUUAAAGCAGGCUUGUGCUGUGAAUACAUUAGCAUGGAAUAAUAAUUUAGGACUUUGGUCUUAUUUUGUUGGUUUCUAGGACUAAAGUAAUGAUUGAUAGGGAUAGUUGGGGGUGCUAGUAUUCAGCGGCCAGAGGUGAAAUUCUUGGAUUCGCUGAAGACUAACUUAUGCGAAAGCAUU
rnacentral:rRNA from 1 species